rnacentral:rRNA from 1 species
GUAUGGGGCAAGCGUUAUCCGGAUUUAUUGGGCGUAAAGAGCGCGUAGGCGGAUUGUUAAGUCAGAUGUGAAAUCCGGGGGCUCAACCCGCGGUCUGCAUCUGAAACUGGCAGUCUUGAGUCUGGUAGAGGAAAGUGGAAUUCCCAGUGUAGCGGUGAAAUGCGCAGAUAUUGGGAGGAACACCAGUGGCGAAGGCGGCUUUCUGGGCCACGACUGACGCUGAGGCGCGAAAGCUAGGGGAGCAAACAGGAUUAGAUACCCUGGUAGUCCUAGCCGUAAACGAUGGGCACUAGGUGUGGGGGGUCAUCAACUCCCUCCGUGCCGCAGCUAACGCAUUAAGUGCCCCGCCUGGGGAGUACGGCCGCAAGGCUA